GACGAACGCUGGCGGCGUGCCUAAUACAUGCAAGUUGAGCGCUGAAGGUUGGUACUUGUACCAACUGGAUGAGCAGCGAACGGGUGAGUAACGCGUGGGGAAUCUGCCUUUGAGCGGGGGACAACAUUUGGAAACGAAUGCUAAUACCGCAUAAAAACUUUAAACACAAGUUUAAAGUUUGAAAGAUGCAAUGGCACAACUCAAAGAUGAUCCCGCGUGGUAUUAGUUAGUUGGUGAGGUAAAGGCUCACCAAGGCGAUGAUACAUAGCCGACCUGAGAGGGUGAUCGGCCACAUUGGGACUGAGACACGGCCCAAACUCCUACGGGAGGCAGCAGUAGGGAAUCUUCGGCAAUGGACGAAAGUCUGACCGAGCAACGCCGCGUGAGUGAAGAAGGUUUUCGGAUCGUAAAACUCUGUUGGUAGAGAAGAACGUUGGUGAGAGUGGAAAGCUCAUCAAGUGACGGUAACUACCCAGAAAGGGACGGCUAACUACGUG
rnacentral:rRNA from 1 species